rnacentral:tRNA from 1 species
GCUCCCAUCGUCUAGGGGUUAGGACACAUGAUUUUCAAUCAUGCAGCAGGAGUUCAAUUCUCCUUGGGAGCG